rnacentral:sRNA from 1 species
AGAUACCAUGGAGUAGUUUGAAACAGGAACAAAAUCUUCUGAAAGCUCGGAGCAGAAGCCUUUUUGGUCAACAUGGAGGAAAAAAGACGGCGAGCCCGAGUUCAGGGAGCCUGGGCUGCCCCUGUUAAAAGCCAGGCCAUUGCUCAGCCAGCUACCACUGCUAAGAGCCAUCUCCACCAGAAGCCUGGCCAGACCUGGAAGAACAAAGAGCAUCAUCUCUCUGACAGAGAGUUUGUGUUCAAAGAACCUCAGCAGGUAGUACGUAGAGCUCCUGAGCCACGAGUGAUUGACAGAGAGGGUGUGUAUGAAAUCAGCCUGUCACCCACAGGUGUAUCUAGGGUCUGUUUGUAUCCUGGCUUUGUUGACGUGAAAGAAGCUGACUGGAUAUUGGAACAGCUUUGUCAAGAUGUUCCCUGGAAACAGAGGACCGGCAUCAGAGAGGGCGCUGCAAGCUGGAUGUAGAUGCACCAAGACUGCUGAAGAAGAUUGCAGGAGUUGAUUACGUUUAUUUUGUCCA